UUGGACAACGUGAGGACUGACAGAUUGAAAGCUCUUUCUUGGUUACCGUUCUUAAUUGGUGGAGUGAUUUGUCUGAUUUAUUCCGAUAACGAGCGAGACUCUAGCCUACUAAAUAGUUACUGGAUAUUCAGUAGAAAAUAAAAGCAAUGGGCAGGAUGUGCUGUUCGUCCUGCCAACAACAAGAUGGACAUCGAGUAUUAGUGGAUACGGCAGGCAAGGAAGCAAAACGACCACUUGGGCUCCUCAAACUUGGCGCACACACAUCGGACAGGCCAUAGAUA
rnacentral:ncRNA from 1 species